AAUGGUAGGAGAGCGUUCUAAGGGCGUUGAAGCAUGAUCGUAAGGACAUGUGGAGCGCUUAGAAGUGAGAAUGCCGGUGUGAGUAGCGAAAGACGGGUGAGAAUCCCGUCCACCGAUUGACUAAGGUUUCCAGAGGAAGGCUCGUCCGCUCUGGGUUAGUCGGGUCCUAAGCUGAGGCCGACAGGCGUAGGCGAUGGAUAACAGGUUGAUAUUCCUGUACCACCUAUAAUCGUUUUAAUCGAUGGGGGGACGCAGUAGGAUAGGCGAAGCGUGCGAUUGGAUUGCACGUCUAAGCAGUAAGGCUGAGUAUUAGGCAAAUCCGGUACUCGUUAAGGCUGAGCUGUGAUGGGGAGAAGACAUUGUGUCUUCGAGUCGUUGAUUUCACACUGCCGAGAAAAGCCUCUAGAUAGAAAAUAGGUGCCCGUACCGCAAACCGACAC
rnacentral:rRNA from 1 species